CCCAGAUUCAUACUGACGUGCUCUUUAAUCCGUCAGGACUACUGACUUUGAGAACACUGCAUUUGUAUGAAGACAUAUUUAAGUUUUGACGUUAGCAAGAAAAUUUCUACUAUUUUUGGACAAUAAAAGUGUAGCCUGUGAUUUUAGUGGCAAUUCUUUACGUUGUUUUUCUGUAGCAAAUCAUUUCUUCUUUGGCUGCUGCUUUCUGUCCUGAUGCUGGAUGCAGUAUUUUGGUGGGGUGGAGAGCCUGUGAAGCACUUUGGGAUAGAGGGGGUUAGCAAAUGUGUGGUCCUGCUGGCUGUCUCCACACUCACAGUCAGUUUGUCCCCCAGGAGCAGCAGCACUGAGGCCAGUGGCCAGUGCCCUUGCGAAAGUGGUGCCAGAGGACAGUCCUGCUCUCAGUUCUCCCAAAUUCUUUCACAGCUCUGAUCCAAGCCUCUUGUAUGAGUAAAGGAGGUGCAGAGGGCAAGCAGUUAGAUGUACCAUACUAGCACGGAUGAGGAUGGAGUGAUGACAUGUUAAUCAGGAGGGCAAUAGGGGCCUGUAGCUCCCAGGUUGGCCAUACCAAGGGUAUGUGAAGGGGUUCACUGUGCUUCUUCUCCCCCAAACUCAUCCCCACUGAGGCCUUCCCUGCCAGGCCACUGAGUGUCUCUCUGCAAGCAGCCCUGUGUCAGCAGACAACCCCACCAGGACCUGCCAUUUCCUUACCCCUUCCCCACCUCAGCAGGGCCAAGGUGGGAGAACGGGGCAACUGGCUUGGUCCACGGAGGUAAGGUCAACAUGCACACUUUGAAGGGAAAAUGCAAGUCAAAGCAUAAUAAAGCACAAAGCCUUUAUCCUUUCUGGAAGAUUGCAGUACCUGACACCUCAUAAGUUUGCCCCUGAUUAUGGACACAGCCGGACUGAGGCCUUGCACUGCCGCCUGCCAUGUUUUCUUCAGAUGGAAAAUAAUCUUGGUCUUCAGUGCUGUAAAACAACAACCCAGUGUAAGAGGCAGCUCUGGUGACUCGAUGUGUUCCUCCUGUUUUGCAGGCAAAGGAGCCCCACGGCAGGGGAGAGCCGCUUCCCAGGUCCGAAACACGGCCCCUCUGGGGCAGCGACGACACAGCUACCUUUCAAGGCCCUAGGCAGAGAGUGAUUGCUUGAGGCAAGAGGGGAAGCCUUCUUCAAAGAAACCUGCUGUUUUCCAGUUCCUACACAGAAGGCCACCUUCAGGAGAUGGAAGGCUUUUGUUCAUGUGAAGAAGACGCUAUGUUGUCAACUGUUUUUUACCUGAACUGUAUCAGUGACUUAUGUCUGUAACUGUAUGAAAAGCUCAAAAACCUUCCCGCUACCCAGAAACUAG
rnacentral:lncRNA from 1 species